rnacentral:rRNA from 1 species
CCUACGGUGUGCUGCAGUGAGGAAUAUUGGUCAAUGGGCGCGAGCCUGAACCAGCCACGUCGCGUGAGGGAUGAAGGUUCUAUGGAUCGUAACCCUCUUUUAUAAGGGAAUAAAGUGUGGGACGUGUCCUAUUUUGUAUGUACCUUCUGACUAAGUAUCGGCUAACUCCGUGCCAGCAGCCGCGGUAAUACGGAGGAUCCGAGCGUUAUCCGGAUUUAUUGGGUUUAAAGGGUGCGUAGGCGGCCUUUUAAGUCAGCGGUGAAAGUCUGUGGCUCAACCAUAGAAUGGCCGUUGAAACUGGGGGGCUUGAGUAUGUUUGAGGCAGGCGGAAUGCGUGGUGUAGCGGUGAAAGGCUUAGAUAUCACGCAGAACCCCGAUGGCGAAGGCAGCCUGCCAAGCCAUGACUGACGCUGAUGCACGAAAGCGUGGGGAUCAAACAGGAUUAGAUACCCUAGUAGUC